ACGAAGGUGGCGAGCGUUGUUCGGAUUUACUGGGCGUAAAGGGAGCGUAGGCGGCAUUGUAUGUCGGAUGUGAAAGCCCACGGCUCAACCGUGGAAAUGCAUUCGAAACUGCAGUGCUAGAGUAUUGGAGAGGUAAGCGGAAUUCUAGGUGUAGCGGUGAAAUGCGUAGAUAUCUAGAGGAACACCAGCGGCGAAGGCGGCUUACUGGACAAAUACUGACGCUGAGGCUCGAAAGCCGGGGGAGCGAAGAGG
rnacentral:rRNA from 1 species